rnacentral:snRNA from 1 species
AUACUUACCUGGCAGGGGAGAUACCAUGAUCAAGAAGGUGGUUCACCCAGGGCGAGGCUUGGCCAUUGCACUCCGGCCACGCUGACUCCUGCGAAUGGCGUUCGACCUGUACGGC